rnacentral:rRNA from 1 species
UGACUAUAAAUUAAUAUAUAAUUUACCAGAGUACUAUGAACACAUAGUUUAAAACUCAAAGGGCUUGGCGGUGCUUUAGACUAUUCAGGGGAACCUGUCUCGUAAUCGAUAGUCCGCGAUACACCUAACCUUUUUUAGUUUAUCAGUAUGUAUACCGUCGUCGUCAGGUAACUUUUAAAAAUAAAGAAGUUAGCGAUAAAAAUUAUGAUAAUUUUGUACGUCAGAUCAAGGUGCAGCCUAUAAAAGGGUGAGGAUGGGUUACAAUUAAGACUUAUAAUAACGGAAAGAGGUUUGAUAUAGCUUCUAGUG